GAUGAACGCUAGCGGCAGGCCUAAUACAUGCAAGUCGAACGGUGUAGCAAUACACAGUGGCGCACGGGUGCGUAACACGUAUGCAACCUACCUUACAUUGGGGGAUAGCCUUUCGAAAGGGAGAUUAAUACCGCAUAAGACAGUAACUAGGCAUCUAGUAGCUGUUAAAGAUUUAUCGAUGUAAGCUGGGCAUGCGUCCAAUUAGUUAGUUGGCGAGGUAAUGGCUCACCAAGACGAUGAUUGGUAGGGGAACUGAGAGGUCAAUCCCCCACACUGGGACUGAGAUGCGGGCCAGACUCCGACGGGAGGCAGCAGUAGGGAAUAUUGGGCAAUGGGCGCAAGCCUGACCCAGCCAUGCCGCGUGCAGGAAGAAGGCGUUAUGCGUUGUAAACUGCUUUUAUACAGGAAGAAACGACCCUUGCGAGGGGCAUUGACGGUACUGUAUGAAUAAGCACCGGCUAACUCCGUGCCAGCCGCCGCAGUAACAC
rnacentral:rRNA from 1 species